AUCUCCCACCCCGACAUUGAGCUUUGUAAAUGAGUCACUCUUAUUUUCCAAUUACUUUUCAUCUCGUGGGACUUGUUGCCACCAAGUGGUGGGUGAUGAAAUUACAUCUCACCACCAUAAGCCACAAAACGAACAAGAGGCUAAAUAAAUUACCAAGCAGAAUACCAGUCUAAAAUGGUAGAGACAGAUUGCUGUGACAUUUGUUGAAAAUGGCCUGUGCAGUGUAACAUGGGCAUGAAGCUUGGGAACACAAAUAUAAAAAAUAUACUGUGCCUCGGGUCACUGGCAUCGUUGUUAUUAAUCCAUGUAUGAUGCGACAAGUUAUGGAGGAGUUCACAGACUGAACACUUAAAUAAAAAUGGCAUAACUGUUGCUCAUUAUUCAUUCCUUCUUGGCAGUUGGAAAGCUGAUACCAUAAAACCAACUUGAUUGAAUGAAGACGAGUGUUCUCUGUGGCCCCAGAUCAACGCCACUGUGCAGGGCUUUGGCAUGAGUGCCAAAACCGAACUCUCUCUAAUGAUUAUGUUCCGCAUCCCGAGUCAUAUUUACACUAGGCAGUGCAAGAAUGUCAAAUUUUCUUGAUGAAAUGAGUGACUAUUGCAAUGUGGAUUGGUAAAUCAUUGGGGUCGAAGGAUUGAAUAGGACUGAAUGGGAUUACGCCUCUCCAACAAUCUUGUGAUCCGAAUAGUUGUAAUAAAUCUUGUCAUAUGUUACCAA